rnacentral:rRNA from 1 species
AGUGAACGCUGGCGGUAGGCCUAACACAUGCAAGUCGAACGGCAGCACAGUAAGAGCUUGCUCUUACGGGUGGCGAGUGGCGGACGGGUGAGGAAUACAUCGGAAUCUACUUUUUCGUGGGGGAUAACGUAGGGAAACUUACGCUAAUACCGCAUACGACCUACGGGUGAAAGCAGGGGAUCUUCGGACCUUGCGCGAUUGAAUGAGCCGAUGUCGGAUUAGCUAGUUGGCGGGGUAAAGGCCCACCAAGGCGACGAUCCGUAGCUGGUCUGAGAGGAUGAUCAGCCACACUGGAACUGAGACACGGUCCAGACUCCUACGGGAGGCAGCAGUGGGGAAUAUUGGACAAUGGGCGCAAGCCUGAUCCAGCCAUACCGCGUGGGUGAAGAAGGCCUUCGGGUUGUAAAGCCCUUUUGUUGGGAAAGAAAAGCAGCAGGUUAAUACCCCGCCGUUCUGACGGUACCCAAAGAAUAAGCGCCGGCUAACUUCGUG